AGAGAGUUAAUUUGAGAGAGAGAAAAGUAGAGGGAAAAUGACAAGAAAGAAAGAAAUGUGCAGUUCUUGAAAUGUGAAAGUAGAGAGAUAGAAAACGACAAAGUUCCCAAGUGGGUUCUUGAGAGACAGAGGUGGGCAGUUUUAUUGGAUUUUGGCGUUGAAGGUUUCAAGCAGAACCAACUCACCCAGCAAAGCUGCGUCAUUUGGGUUCUCACACAGAGAGAGAGAGGGGUCUUUGUGUUUCUGGGUAAUGAUCAAUGUGCUUGCUUGAGCUCUAACCUACGCUGCUGGGUCUCUAUAUUGUAGCACUGUGAGAGAGAGAGAGAGAGAGAGAGAGAGAGAGAAAGCUUUGAUUUUUUGAGCUUUUUGGGUCUUUGUUUUGCUGGGUUUACCAAAUGGAGUUUGCUGGGUGCAGCAGAGGGAGCUCUGGGAGAGCUCUGGCGCUGGCCAUUUGCCUAUUGACCUUGAUCUCUCUAUCUUGUGCUGCCAGAUUGAGUGCUUCUUCAAGGCAGAAGCUUGAUGUCCACAAGCACCUAAACCGCUUGAACAAACCCGCCGUGAAAAGCAUCAAGAGCCCAGAUGGAGAUAUUAUAGACUGUGUUCAUAUCUCUCAGCAACCGGCUUUCGAUCACCCUUACCUCAAAGAUCACAAAAUCCAGAUGAGGCCUACCUACCACCCCGAAGGGUUAUUUGCUGAGAACAAAGUGGCUGAAAGUACAAAAAGAAAGGGUAAAUACCCAGCUGUGGCAUGUCAAUGGGAGAUGCCCGGAAGAUACUAUUCCGGUAAGGAGAACGAAGGAAGAUGAUAUUCUGAGAGCAAGUUCAAUGAAACAUUAUGGAAGGAAGAAGCAGAGAACCAUACCAAAAUCUGCUGAUCCUGAUCUUGCCAAUGAGAGUGGCCAUCAGCAUGCAAUUGCAUAUGUCAAUGGAGAUAAGUACUAUGGAGCAAAAGCAACCAUAAAUGUCUGGGAACCCAAGAUACAACAGCCUAAUGAGUUCAGCUUGUCUCAGCUGUGGGUAUUAGGAGGAUCUUUUGGUGAAGAUCUGAACAGCAUUGAAGCUGGCUGGCAGGUAAGCCCAGACCUCUAUGGUGACAACAACACAAGACUUUUUACAUACUGGACUAGUGAUGCAUAUCAAGCCACUGGUUGCUACAACCUCCUCUGCUCAGGCUUCAUUCAAAUCAACAAUGAAAUAGCAAUGGGUGCAAGCAUCUCUCCAGUUUCAGGCGUUCGAGGAUCGCAAUAUGACAUCAGUAUACUUGUCUGGAAGGAUCCAAAGGAGGGGCACUGGUGGAUGCAAUUCGGAAACGACUAUGUGCUGGGUUAUUGGCCUUCUUACCUAUUCUCCUACUUGGCUGACAGUGCUUCCAUGGUUGAGUGGGGAGGUGAGGUUGUGAAUUCAGAGCCGGACGGCCAGCACACCUCAACCCAAAUGGGCAGCGGACGUUUUCCAGAGGAGGGUUUUGGCAAGGCAAGUUAUUUCAGAAACAUCCAGGUUGUUGAUAGCUCAAAUAAUCUCAAGGCCCCAAAAGGGUUGGGCACGUUCACUGAGCAACCAAACUGCUAUGAUGUUCGAACUGGCAGUAAUGGAGACUGGGGUCAUUACUUUUACUACGGAGGCCCCGGUAAAAACUCGAAUUGCCCGUGAGGUGAAAAAGACCAUUUCACCGCUCUACUUAAUCCUAUGUGUAUCAUUCAAUCUAGUGUAAUACCUUUUUCUUGUUCUUGUUCUUCUUCUCCCUUGUAUACCCUUUUUAUUUAUUUUUUCCUUUUCAGUGCUUAGGUUGGGUAGUACUAGUAGACAAGUGGUUGUAGCUUUUUAUGUAGUGGGAAGUUUUGACUCGUUGGUGUUUUUAGUGAAAGGAUCAAUCUCGCUCCAUGUAAGUAAGUGGUGGGUGGGUGUGAAGAAGGUAGGCCGAGUUUCUCAGAAGCCUAAAGAAACGAAGGCCUUUUUUUUAAUUAUAUAAAACUCCUUUGGUAUUCUUCUUGUUUGUAUA